UACAGAGGUCUCAAGCGUUGUUCGGAUUCAUUGGGCGUAAAGGGUGUGUAGGUGGCGCGCUAAGUCGGGUGUGAAAUUUCGGAGCUUAACUCCGAAACUGCAUUCGAUACUGGCGUGCUUGAGGACUGGAGAGGAGACUGGAAUUCAUGGUGUAGCAGUGAAAUGCGUAGAGAUCAUGAGGAAGACCAGUGGCGAAGGCGGGUCCCUGGACAGUUCCUGACACUGAGGCACGAAGGCCAGGGGAGCAAACGGG
rnacentral:rRNA from 1 species